UCCGGUUUAUCACCGGCAGUCUCCUUUGAGUUCCCGACCGAAUCGCUGGCAACAAAGGAUAAGGGUUGCGCUCGUUGCGGGACUUAACCCAACAUUUCGCAACACGAGCUGACGACAGCCAUGCAGCACCUGUCUCAGCGUUCCCGAAGGCACCAAAGCAUCUCUGCUAAGUUCGCUGGAUGUCAAGAGUAGGUAAGGUUCUUCGCGUUGCAUCGAAUUGAACCACAUGCUCCACCGCUUGUGCGGGCCCCCGUCAAUUCAUUUGAGUUUUAACCUUGCGGCCGUACUCCCCAGGCGGUCUACUUCACGCGUUAGCUG
rnacentral:misc_RNA from 1 species